GCCUGAUCCAGCCAUGCCGCGUGCAGGAUGACGGUCCUAUGGAUUGUAAACUGCUUUUGUACGAGAAGAAACACUCCAACGUGUUGGAGCUUGACGGUAUCGUAAGAAUAAGGAUCGGCUAACUCCGUGCCAGCAGCCGCGGUAAUACGGAGGAUCCAAGCGUUAUCCGGAAUCAUUGGGUUUAAAGGGUCCGUAGGCGGUUUAGUAAGUCAGUGGUGAAAGCCCAUCGCUCAACGGUGGAACGGCCAUUGAUACUGCUAAACUUGAAUUAUUAGGAAGUAACUAGAAUAUGUAGUGUAGCGGUGAAAUGCUUAGAGAUUACAUGGAAUACCAAUUGCGAAGGCAGGUUACUACUAAUGGAUUGACGCUGAUGGACGAAAGCGUGGGUAGCGAACAGGAUUAGAUACCCUGGUAGUCCACGCCGUAAACGAUGGAUACUAGCUGUUGGGAGCAAUCUCAGUGGCUAAGCGAAAGUGAUAAGUAUCCCACCUGGGGAGUACGUUCGCAAGAAUGAAACUCAAAGGAAUUGACGGGGGCCCGCACAAGCGGUGGAGCAUGUGGUUUAAUUCGAUGAUACGCGAGGAACCUUACCAAGGCUUAAAUGUAGUUUGACCGAUUUGGAAACAGAUCUUUC
rnacentral:rRNA from 1 species